rnacentral:rRNA from 1 species
UACGGAGGGGGCUAGCGUUGUUCGGAAUUACUGGGCGUAAAGCGUGCGCAGGCGGUUGUGCAAGACAGAUGUGAAAUCCCCGGGCUCAACCUGGGAAUUGCAUUUGUGACUGCACGGCUAGAGUGUGUCAGAGGGGGGUAGAAUUCCACGUGUAGCAGUGAAAUGCGUAGAGAUGUGGAGGAAUACCGAUGGCGAAGGCAGCCCCCUGGGAUAACACUGACGCUCAUGCACGAAAGCGUGGGGAGCAAACAGG